ACAGGUGCUGCAUGGCUGUCGUCAGCUCGUGUCGUGAGAUGUUGGGUUAAGUCCCGCAACGAGCGCAACCCUCGCCCCUAGUUGCCAUCAUUCAGUUGGGAACUCUAGGGGGACUGCCGGUGAUAAGCCGCGAGGAAGGUGGGGAUGACGUCAAGUCCUCAUGGCCCUUACAGGCUGGGCUACACACGUGCUACAAUGGCGGUGACAAUGGGCAGCGAAAGGGUGACCUGGAGCUAAUCCCAAAAAGCCGUCUCAGUUCAGAUUGUACUCUGCAACUCGAGUACAUGAAGGUGGAAUCGCUAGUAAUCGUGGAUCAGCAUGCCACGGUGAAUACGUUCCCGGGUCUUGUACACACC
rnacentral:rRNA from 1 species